CCUACGGGUGGCAGCAGUGAGGAAUAUUGGUCAAUGGACGAGAGUCUGAACCAGCCAAGUAGCGUGAAGGAUGACUGCCCUAUGGGUUGUAAACUUCUUUUAUAUGGGAAUAAAACGUUCCACGUGUGGGAUUUUGUAUGUACCAUAUGAAUAAGGAUCGGCUAACUCCGUGCCAGCAGCCGCGGUAAUACGGAGGAUCCGAGCGUUAUCCGGAUUUAUUGGGUUUAAAGGGAGCGUAGGUAGAUUGUUAAGUCAGUUGUGAAAGUUUGCGGCUCAAACGUAAAAUUGCAGUUGAAACUGGCAGUCUUGAGUACAGUAGAGGUGGGCGGAAUUCGUGGUGUAGCGGUGAAAUGCUUAGAUAUAACGAAGAACUCCGAUUGCGAAGGCAGUUCACUGGACUGCAACUGACACUGAGGCUCGAAAGUGUGGGUAUCAAACAGGAUUAGAUACCCCUGUAGUC
rnacentral:rRNA from 1 species